GCCUUCGUGGUGUAGUGGUCAGCACGCUUGACGCGUAACCGAGAGAUCCGUGGUUCGAUUCCCUGCGAAGGCG
rnacentral:tRNA from 1 species